rnacentral:rRNA from 1 species
UACAGAGGGGGCAAGCGUUGUUCGGAAUUACUGGGCGUAAAGGGCGCGUAGGCGGCCUGUUAAGUCGAACGUGAAAUCCCUGGGCUCAACCCAGGAACUGCGUCCGAUACUGGCAGGCUUGAAUCCGGGAGAGGGAUGCGGAAUUCCAGGUGUAGCGGUGAAAUGCGUAGAUAUCUGGAGGAACACCGGUGGCGAAGGCGGCAUCCUGGACCGGCAUUGACGCUGAGGCGCGAAAGCGUGGGGAGCGAACAGG